AAAGACCCCGUGAACCUUUACUAUAGCUUGACACUGAACAUUGAGCCUUGAUGUGUAGGAUAGGUGGGAGGCUUUGAAGUGUGGACGCCAGUCUGCAUGGAGCCGACCUUGAAAUACCACCCUUUAAUGUUUGAUGUUCUAACGUGGACCCGUAAUCCGGGUUGCGGACAGUGUCUGGUGGGUAGUUUGACUGGGGCGGUCUCCUCCUAAAGAGUAACGGAGGAGCACGAAGGUUGGCUAAUCCUGGUCGGACAUCAGGAGGUUAGUGCAAUGGCAUAAGCCAGCUUGACUGCGAGCGUGACGGCGCGAGCAGGUGCGAAAGCAGGUCAUAGUGAUCCGGUGGUUCUGAAUGGAAGGGCCAUCGCUCAACGGAUAAAAGGUACUCCGGGGAUAACAGGCUGAUACCGCCCAAGAGUUCAUAUCGACGGCGGUGUUUGGCACCUCGAUGUCGGCUCAUCACAUCCUGGGGCUGAAGUAGGUCCCAAGGGUAUGGCUGUUCGCCAUUUAAAGUGGUACGCGAGCUGGGUUUAGAACGUCGUGAGACAGUUCGGUCCCUAUCUGCCGUGGGCGCUGGAGAACUGAGGGGGGCUGCUCCUAGUACGAGAGGACCGGAGUGGACGCAUCACUGGUGUUCGGGUUGUCAUGCCAAUGGCACUGCCCGGUAGCUAAAUGCGGAAGAGAUAAGUGCUGAAAGCAUCUAAGCACGAAACUUGCCCCGAGAUGAGUUCUCCCUGAGACUUAGA
rnacentral:rRNA from 1 species